AUUGAACGCUGGCGGCAGGCCUAACACAUGCAAGUCGAGCGGAGCGGCGGACGGGUGAGUAAUGCCUAGGAAUCUGCCUGGUAGUGGGGAUAACGGCCGGAAACGGGCGCUAAUCCCGCAUAGUAUCAGAUGAGCCUUGGUCGGAUUCGUUAGUGGGGGGGGUAAAGGCCUACCAAGGGGACGAUCCGUAACUGGUCUGAGAGGAGGAUCAGUCACACUGGAACUGAGACACGGUCCAGACUCCUACGGGAGGCAGCAGUGGGGAAUAUUGGACAAUGGGCGAAAGCCUGAUCCAGCCAUGCCGCGUGUGUGAAGAAGGUCUUCGGAUUGUAAAGCACUUUAAGUUGGGAGGCGUUACCAACAGAAUAAGCACCGGCUAACUUCGUGCCAGCAGCCGCGGUAAUAC
rnacentral:rRNA from 1 species